rnacentral:rRNA from 1 species
AGAUUGAACGCUGGCGGCAUGCCUAACACAUGCAAGUCGAACGGGAGUAGCAAUACUCUAGUGGCGGACGGGUGAGGAAUACGUAGGAAUUUGCCCUUAAGUGGGGGAUAACCCGGGGAAACCCGGAUUAAUACCGCAUGACCUCGAAAGAGCAAAGUGGGGGAUCGCAAGACCUCACGCUUUUGGAGAAGCCUACGUCGGAUUAGCUAGUUGGUGAGGUAAUGGCUCACCAAGGCGACGAUCCGUAACUGGUCUGAGAGGAUGAUCAGUCACACCGGAACUGAGACACGGUCCGGACUCCUACGGGAGGCAGCAGUGGGGAAUAUUGGACAAGUGGCGCAAGCCUGAUCCAGCAAUGCCGCGUGUGUGAAGAAGGCCUUCGGUUGUAAAGCACUUUAAGUUAGGUAAGAAAAACGUACGCGUACUAAC